rnacentral:misc_RNA from 1 species
GGGUUGGUGUUGGGGGCCAAUACACAUUCAGGAGAUCCUAGUUCAGACGUAUAACGAUUGACAAUUUAUUGCCCAAAUUCUGUGGGCAUUCACCAAUAAGAUGUAAAAGUAACUGUACAAUCAACACACAUCAGGGAAUUCUCUCGCCUCAUUUCUCUUUUGAAAUAGAGCAGGGUGUGAUGAUAAGAUAUUUGCCAUAAUUUUUGCACACAGCACGGACAACAUCAGAAUCCAUAUCAUAAGUAUGUAUGCUUUGAAGCUUUUACGCAACAGUAUACCAAGUCUGAUAGCUUGUAAUUGGUGAGACCCUCAACCCCAAUCGUCCCAUAAAAUAUCUGGAUGCAUCUAGAUUAUUUUCACAGGCAAUAAAAUGUUUGUGCCCCAAAAUUCCUGUACGUCAAUUUCCAAGGAGUGCAACCUUUUUCCAGAUCGUAGCACCGCUCCAACAGAUUAGGCUUAUUCUCUUUGCCUCGUUUAAACAACUAGGGUAGCGAAAUUAGAUGCUGUCCGAGGUCCAAGUGUCUAUUGCGCCAGUAUUCCAAAUUCCCCAUCUCCAUCUAACUCUUGGACGAUCAGCUGUACAUCGAGAGAUGAAGUUGCUAGCAAUUUUCGGAUCAACUUCAUAGUGAAUAAGCAGUGCAACAUCUGACAAGUUGGUGCACUUAUCCAAGAUAGUGAAAAUAAAUAACAAAGUAACAUCAAUAUCACGGAUCACUAACUGUGCAACAAAUUCUUUUAGCCCCUGCAUUCCGGUAUGACUCUGAAAACCACCAGCCACAAAACAGGUCUCCAUUUCACACCAAGCCCCAGAUCGCAAAGUGAGUGAGCUCACAUUUGGGAACACUUCAAACAACAUAUCCAGGCUAAGCAUACUCAUAUCACCAGGUUUAACACGCUUCGAUGAAUCAACUAUUAGCCUCUUAAUUGAAUUAUUAGAUGGAAAUGAGUAUAUAAGGCCACAAAGAUCUGCAGAUUCAAGCUGUAGGAUUUUCAAGUCCAAGAACCCUUUUACCUCAAACUUAUUUGCUUUCCGAAGGGAAAGAUAGAAAUCGGACAAUAGUGGCGUUUCAAGGACAAGUGAUCUUGGUUCAAUACAAUUUAGCUCAAGUUUCACAAGCUUGGGUGCAAAAAUAGUCAGAGAUUGUGGAGCAUUUGACACAGUCCAUUGACAUUUUCUAAGGUGAAAAAGCUGGAUCUUAGGUUCUGUAAGUCCUCCAACUCCGAUCAAAUUGAGAACUUGGAGACAAGGGAAGCAAUGAUUAACCUUGCUAAGGUCCUCAUCAUCUAGUCUUACAGAUUCGAGUGUUAAACUUGUAAGCAUGGGCAUUGGAUUCAAACCAUUAAUGGAGAGCCAAGCAUUCUUCACCUCAAGUUCACAAAGACUAUGACAGCAAGAAGAAAGCAGCGCCAAAAUAUCAGAUCGUCUCCAACAAGAUUGAAUCCAAAAAUCCGAAAUUGACAGAGAUCUUAGCUCCCUAAAACCCCUCGGCAGCCACUCAUUAACAAACCCCACGUCUGUCAAAUACAAAUCGUCAGCCUCGUCUUCGACAUCGUCAUACGACAUUCCGCCAAGAGACUUCUCCACGCUAAUCGAGAUGGACUCGAGGGCCAACGAAUUGAGGAUCAGGUUGUUAAAUAUAGUCUUGAAGGGUGUCGUUACGUCUUUGGUCUCCGGCGACCUCAAUUUGAGAUAUCGGGAAAAGGUGCAGACGAGGUUGAUGGACCGAACCUCGCGAGAGAGUGUGUUAAAGGUUUUAGAGA